AUGAGUAGUUUGAAAGAUGACACAUUUUGCUCGAUCUGUGCAGUGUUUCUUGUUGUUUACUUACCUGCGAGUGUUGAUUUCGUGUGCCUACAGUCGACGAAGCAGCUUUCGAUUGUUGUUGCCCUCUGGCUUAGCUUUACGGGUGUGAAAAGGAGUGAUGAUUCGAAGACUGCGUGAUAACUACGCCACGCUACAGUGGCUAGAUCUAGCCACUGUAGCCACGCGGUCGUGUGCAAAAUUUUCUUUCGAAUUUUGAAAAGGACGACAAAAGUAUGUCAUCGAUUCAAGUCAGAGGAAAAUUCAGUAAGCUUGUACUGACUGGUGGCAGCUGCUACAGCUUGGAAGUACUGCGUAUUGUGGUCUGACAGAGCGUCUGUGUCGUUGCCGUUUGCUGGUUCCCGUUUAGUGCAUCGCAUAGGCGCACUGCGUAGGAACUCGCCUUUCACGUGACUGUUGUGUUCCACGAGUUCCUAUUUGGUUCUGCUUUGUGAAGCAACUCAAACGCAGUCGUCGGAUAUGUGAGCGGACUGCGGUCUGACAUGAUGAUGUGCGCGCGUUGGUUAUGCCGGUGUCAGACGGGAAAUUUCGAUCGCUAUUUGAUCCUACAGCGUUAUUUGGGUUAAUCAGCGACUAUUGCUAAUCGGGACGAUUAAAUCUGCUUCAAUAAUAAUAGGACAAAGGGUGGUGCCAAAAUUUCUCUAGAAGGCUAGGGGCAGUUUCGUCGAGUAGCCGCGAGGUUGGGAAUGUAUUUGUUGUGUUUGAACGAUGUUUGCAUUUAGGGGAGCAAUGUAAGAAAAUUUUCAAUGGGUUAAAGCCUCUCGAAAAUGCAUAACAGAAGAUGAAGAAGUGAGACAGGGCCUCAUCUCACAACUAUAUAGGCCUCAGCCAUUCUGCUGGCCAGUGCAUGGAAGAGAGCAUCAAAGGAGCAGAGUAAACAAGUGCAGAAAACAACUUUAGAUCUUCACAUCCUAAAGAACGAGUCUACUGAUAUUGCCGCACCACAGUUCCUCCCACGGCCUCAAUAUUAUUUUUGUUGAGAUGCCAAAAUUUGUGCACAAUGAUCUGGUCUGUGGAAUGUAGGCAUUCUGCUAGGGACAAGUAUGUGCACAAGUAUAGGUGCCUUAUGGAAAACAUGGACACAGAAGAUUGCCGCAUUUUCUAAGAGCCUUUCUGUAUUACGCUUUGUGCCCCUGCAACAUGUUUUUUCUUGGUUUUGAAGAGCUGCACUAAUAUAAAGAUAUUUGUACAGUUCUACCAAGUUGCCAGGCUCAAC